GUACACACCGCCCGUCACACCAUGGGAGUUGGUUCGACCUUAAGCCGGUGCGCUAACCCGCAAGGGGAGCAGCCGUCCACGGUCGGGUUAGCGACUGGGGUGAAGUCGUAACAAGGUAGCCGUAGGUGAACCUGCAGAAGGAUCA
rnacentral:rRNA from 1 species